rnacentral:lncRNA from 1 species
UCCCCUCCCGCCUUGGCAUGGCCCUAACCCCCUUGCCGCAUCCCCCUGCCUGCCUGGUCUCUCCCUCUUGCCCCUGCCUCUGCCUUUCAGCUUCUCCUUGGCUCUAUUAAUGCUUUUCCUCACCGGCCGGUGCCUUUUGUUUUAACAGAACGCCUGCACAGUCCCUGUUCAGCCUGCCUUCUCCAUGGUGCCUUUCUCCCAGCCUGUCUGUUUCCCACCCAGGCCCAAGGGGCGCAGACAAAAACCUCCCGGCGUGCGGCCUGCCAACCCGGCUCCCAUUAUCCAGACAGUCAUCCACACGGUGCAGAGCACCCCUGGACAGAGGUUCUCUACUCCCGCCCUCCCACCUGUGAUGUACCCCCACUCUGCCUAUGUAAGUGGUUUCUCAGGGAGGGCAGAGGUUCUGUUUGUGGUGGGCAGGCUGGGGGUGAAGAGCUGCUGCGGGGGUAUCCA